GACAGCCCUGGUGGACAGAAGCAUCAGAGUACAAUGCAGAGAGUGGAGCCGUCAGGAGGGAGGAUCUCUGUGAUGACAAUGACAUGGAACACCAGGAGGACUGCGGAGAAGAGAAUCUGGGCUUGGACAAUAUAGAACACCAAAACAACCAGUAUGAUGAGGAUACAGAGGCACAAGAGAACAAUAAAGACACAGAGCAGACGCACCAGCUUGAGAUGGAGUGCAGUGACCAAGAGGACACUGACCAGUCACCUGUCAGUGUGAAAAAAUACCCGUGAUAUGGAUGGAAAAAGCAGUGGACUGUUAUCGUGCACAAUAACACCUGCUGCGACAUAUGACAGGAAGGGGAGAUACAUGUCAUGUGUUUCACUGUGGCUAGCAGUGAUGCUGAACUCUGACUCCUAAAGAGAUGUAGCCUUCUACAAGCAAUGUAUAGUUGCCACAUAAGGACUGAUAUUGGUAGAAUGUCGGGACGCCAUUAACUUUUUGAGGGGAGAGUGUAAGGACAAGAAAGACAUCGUGGACAAAACAGGACACCCCCCUAUAAUUUAGUCACAAUAUUAUAGUUAGUUAAAUGGUCUGAUUGUUCAAAUAUGUAUUUUCUUUGAUUGUUGUAAAAUAAUGUGUGCCCCAGUCUCCAAAAAUGACAUAGUGCAGGAAGGGUAGUUAUUCCUCCGUUACACCACAAGAGGGAGUAUCCCCUAAAACAAGCAGCUCUAGCGGGAGUAAAUAAGCCCAGCCACUAACCAUAAGGCAGUGCGCCUAUAAGAGUUGUGUGAGAGUGCAAAAGUGUGUAACGUUGUGCUAUGUCUACAUAUAUGUUUGCAGGUAAGCAGAUACAAGAUGGUAAAUAACUUAAAAUGUAUCUACAGAUGAGUCCACUGGGUUGCAGAGAAUGUGGGAAAGUUGGCCGUUAAUCCCCAUUAUGUGUCAUUAGUAUAUAAGUUAUUGGUAGCGAUGUGAAUUAGCCGUGGCGCUAACGAUUAGCAGCUAGAGAUAAUUCAUUAGUUUGUACGGAAACCUCGUGGCGCUUUUGUGGAUUUAUACCUGCACCGAGCUGUAAUCACAGCAGAUAUAGCCUGGUGGAUCACACUAUCUUUUGUUUAUGUUUAUUUCAUUGUUGUACUGUAAGAAAUAUUAGAGAUUUGAGUUUAAGGACUAACCAUAAGGCAGUGCGCCUAUAAGAGUUGUGUGAGAGUGCAAAAGUGUGUAACGUUGUGCUAUGUCUACAUAUAUGUUUGCAGAUGUUUGCAGAUACAGUAAAGGCGAACUCACAAAGCCA